GACGAACGCUGGCGGCGUGCCUAAUACAUGCAAGUCGAACGAGAGCGACCGGUGCUUGCACUGGUCAAUCUAGUGGCGAACGGGUGAGUAACACGUGGGUAACCUGCCCAUCAGAGGGGGAUAACAUCCGGAAACGGAUGCUAAAACCGCAUAGGUCUUCGAACCGCAUGGUUUGAAGAGGAAAAGAGGCGCAAGCUUCUGCUGAUGGAUGGACCCGCGGUGCAUUAGCUAGUUGGUGAGGUAACGGCUCACCAAGGCCGUGAUGCAUAGCCGACCUGAGAGGGUGAUCGGCCACAUUGGAACUGAGACACGGCCCAAACUCCUACGGGAGGCAGCAGUAGGGAAUCUUCCGCAAUGGACGCAAGUCUGACGGAGCAACGCCGCGUGAGUGAAGAAGGUUUUCGGAUCGUAAAACUCUGUUGUUAGAGAAGAACAAGUGCUAGAGUAACUGUUAGCGCCUUGACGGUAUCUAACCAGAAAGCCACGGCUAACUACGUG
rnacentral:rRNA from 1 species